CUCGGUGUAUCCAGUCAUACACAGACUAAAAAAAAAGCCUUUUCUACAAUGAUUUGCACGUCAACUUUCACCCGUCAGUGCUUUUUGGAAAAUGGGAUUCUUCCCUGUGGAAAAAAAUAAACAGAAAAUACGAGGGUUUGCUGCACGCAGAACACGCCCCAACCUCCCAGGCGGCCCGGGCACCCUUCCCAUCCCUGUGGAGCCGCACCCCGUGCAGGGCAGGGAGACUUGUCCCAUUAAAAUGACUCUUGAAGUAGUGACUCUAAUAAUAAUAAUCUGUGAUUCCUUCCCGUUCUGUUGCAGGGCGUGCAGCAGUGUCCCCCUGCCAGCCUCUGGGCACCCUCAGGUCCCCGCUGUAAGAGGUGAAAUGUUGCCUGGACAGCCCUGAAGUUGGAGGUCCAAGGCAUCCAGCUUCGUUUGUCGCAGAGAAAACACUGCAGGCAAAAAGGAGGGUAAGAAUGAGGGCAGCGAGGCGGCAAGAGCUGGCAAAGCAAAUGCUGGCAGUGCAGGGCCAGCGGGCUGUGAACACUGGUCGCCUUCCAGGGGAAUUAUCAAGUGGUGCUGCAUGCCAUGGAAGUGUGCAGCAAUGGGCAGAAGGACUGUGCUGUUCUUGACUCCAAAAGUUUGACUCCACUUGUGGUACAAGAAAACAUUCCUGGAGUUGAGUUUGGGGCAUUAAAACAGGCGUGGGGGGAAGAGUUACUUUCUUUGUCCACCUCCCUUUUGCAGCCACUUCCCUGUGCAAUCUUGGGAAAAUCUUGUCUGCCUCGGUUUCGCCCUCUAUAAAAUGGGAAUAAGUCAUGACAGACCCCUCCUUUUAGAUGCCUGGAUCAAAGGUACUAUAUAAGUACAAAGUGCUCCUUCUAUAGGGUAUUAUUGCCAAAUUCGCUAUAAGCAAUUCCAUUGGGUACUUGAUAACAACAGUAGAAUCAGUCAAACGCCCUUGAUGCAUUCAUCGCAUGGUCCCAGAUACCUUUCAGAGCCUCUUUGUGUGCCAUCCUACCCCCUGAGGUCCACGAGGAUGGGGCUUUUGGAGCCUGGAUUCUGCAGGAGCAGGAGGGGUAUGGUGAAGCAAUUUUGUACAAUUCUUGUGAAAGAUGAAAUACGACACACCGAUGUUGUUGGUUACAAAAGUACUGCAGUGUAAGAAAGUGACUGCCGCGCAGGGAAGAGUUCUCCACUCAUUUAUAUCUACAGGGAAAAUUAAUUAAAGUUGCCCCUGUGAAGCUGAACGCAGUUUGCUGCUCUGCCUGGAUAUAUUUUUAAACACAAAUAAUCCGUGUUUCAGCUCCAUUUUAGAAGGCAGAGAAGUUCCUGGCAUCAAAGUUUCUUCUUCAGAUUGAUUCACUGGAUUGGAUUGCCUUUCCUCAUGUAAUCAGACUGAUACACAUCCUGAGUUCCUACGCAAAGGCAUUAUAUGAAGAUGGAAAGAUGUAAAUUCACUUGAAGGAGACGACCAAAUUAACAGUGCAUCAGCAAGCAAACCACACCGUGACUGCUUACAAUCUCCCUGCACACAUCGCCCGUUAAGGAACAUUCAGCAGCAUUAAUAAUCAAAUGUUAACUGAAAAAGCUAGACAAGCUAUUGGAUAUUUGGCAUGGCCAAUUGAUGUUCGUUCUGCUCAAGCGUUUGUGAAAUAAACAUUUAUCCUCUGGUG
rnacentral:lncRNA from 1 species